UACGGAGGAUGCAAGCGUUAUCCGGAAUGAUUGGGCGUAAAGCGUCCGCAGGUGGUUGUGUGUGUCUAUUGUCAAAGCAUCGUGCUUAACAUGAUAAAGGCAGUAGAAACUACACGACUAGAGUGCGUUCGGGGCAGAGGGAAUUCCUGGUGUAGCGGUGAAAUGCGUAGAGAUCAGGAAGAACACCGGUGGCGAAAGCGCUCUGCGAGGCCGCAACUGACAAUGAGGGGCGAAAGCUAGGGGAGCGAAUGGG
rnacentral:rRNA from 1 species